rnacentral:lncRNA from 1 species
GAACCCAUGGCUGCGGGCUGUGCUGAGGUCAUAGUCAGGCCUGAAAGGACUCGCUGAGCAUGACAAUCAAGUGGAAGAGGGUCUUGCAAUUGCACUUGUCCCUGAGGGGGGCCCUUGUCCUUGCCACCUUGGUUCUUGCUCAGGCUGCUGGGGCUGAGGCCUGAGGUCUGGGAUGGGGAGAGAGCCUUCAGUAUGUGGGCCGCCCUCCUGUCAGAACAGUGUUUGUCGUCUCCUGCUAUCUUACGGAGGCUGUGAGGAUCUAGAGGAUACAGCUACGGAGAACAUGCUGGGUUCCUUGAGCUGCUAAGCACUGAAGUCCCACCAAUGGUGACGAAGGUCUAAGGAGAACAUUGCAAUUGCACAAAAUGAUCCUUGGAAAUUCUUUAGAAGGGCACCAUCUUGGAGACCCAGAAUCAAUAAAACCAGCAUGGCUGGGAGUUUUCUCCAGCAUUUGAAUAAAUUGUUGUUUCUUUGGUUGAACCAUGAUGAGAUAAUUGGCUUAAACCAGGAGUCAUGCAUGGUAUCUGGAAACUUCCUCACUUGAAUCACCAGCAUCAUACUCAGCAUGCAUAAUCCUCUCAUCAUGAGAGGCACAGGGGAAAUGAGCCAGCCUGUCUGGAAAGGAAGCAAAUGCAUGCUUUCCAUCUCCCACUCAGUACUGGACAUGAAGCUAUGUCAUCACCACUUAAUGCCAGCACCACUUAAAUGAUGUUUCUCUCUCUCUGCCCUGUACUUGCUGGAGGCACAUGCCCAUAUCACGUAGGGUGUCAGGGCAGAGAGCUCUUAGGAAGAGCUGAGCUGUGGGGACUUCCUCCCACGCAGAAGAGGGAGGCCUCUGCAGAAUUCUCUGCCAUGUGCUUCUAGGCUUCCUCAACUCAGAAAUUUUAUUAUAGAGUUUUAGAAUGUGAAGAGCUCUUGGAAAUCAUGAAAGAUGAAGAAUCAAGAUGGAAGUUUGAUGGCUUGUCCCAGGCCCCAGAGUGGACCCUUUGCUUUUUGGAAUCCAACAGCAAGGACUCAUGGGAAUAUCGUGGGAUUUGACUUGGAGAGACAGGGCUCAAACCUCAUCUUUGUCACUUAGUGAUUGUGUAAUUCUCUAAAAGUCUAUUUGUAGAAAAGGGAUAAGGGAGCUUUCUUUCCUGGAUUUCAAGAUGAUUAAAAGAGAUGUAUGUAUAAAGGG